UACGGAGGGGGCUAGCGUUGUUCGGAAUUACUGGGCGUAAAGCGCACGUAGGCGGCUUUGUAAGUCAGAGGUGAAAUCCCGGGGCUCAACCCCGGAACUGCCUUUGAGACUGCAAGGCUCGAAUCCAGGAGAGGUGAGUGGAAUUCCGAGUGUAGAGGUGAAAUUCGUAGAUAUUCGGAAGAACACCAGUGGCGAAGGCGGCUCACUGGACUGGUAUUGACGCUGAGGUGCGAAAGCGUGGGGAGCAAACAGG
rnacentral:rRNA from 1 species